GACGAACGCUGGCGGCGUGCUUAACACAUGCAAGUCGAACGAAGUGGCGAACGGGUGAGUAACGCGUAAUCAACAUGCCCUUCAGAGGGGGACAACAGUUGGAAACGACUGCUAAUACCGCAUACAGAAGGAGGGGAUUGCGUCGGAUUAGCUAGGUGGAGGGGUAAGGGCCCACCAAGGCGAUGAUCAGGAGCCGGGCUGAGAGGAUGAACGGCCACAUUGGGACUGAGACACGGCCCAGACUCCUACUGGGGGCAGCAGUGGGGAAACUUCCGACAUGGACGGAAGUCUGACGGAGCAACGCCGCGUGAGUGAUGACGGCCUUCGGGUUGUAAAGCUCUGUUAAUCGGGACGCGGUACCGGAAUAGAAAGCCACGGCUAACUACGUGCCAGCCGCCGCGGUAAUUC
rnacentral:rRNA from 1 species